UACAGAGGUCGCGAGCGUUGUUCGGAAUCAUUGGGCGUAAAGGGUGCGUAGGCGGCGGGGCAAGUCUGAUGUGAAAUCCCGAGGCUCAACCCCGGAACUGCAUUGGAUACUGCCUUGCUUGAGUACUGGAGAGGAGACUGGAAUUUACGGUGUAGCGGUGAAAUGCGUAGAUAUCGUAAGGAAGACCAGUGGCGAAGGCGAGUCUCUGGACAGUUACUGACGCUGAGGCACGAAGGCCAGGGGAGCAAACGGG
rnacentral:rRNA from 1 species